AGCGAACGCUGGCGGCAGGCUUAAUACAUGCAAGUCGAACGGGCGCUUCGGUGCUAGUGGCAGACGGGUGAGUAACGCGUGGGAACGUGCCUUUCGGUUCGGAAUAAUCCAGGGAAACUUGGACUAAUACCGGAUACGCCCUUCGGGGGAAAGAUUUAUCGCCGAAAGAUCGGCCCGCGUCUGAUUAGCUAGUUGGUGAGGUAAAGGCUCACCAAGGCGACGAUCAGUAGCUGGUCUGAGAGGAUGAUCAGCCACAUUGGGACUGAGACACGGCCCAAACUCCUACGGGAGGCAGCAGUGGGGAAUAUUGGACAAUGGGCGCAAGCCUGAUCCAGCCAUGCCGCGUGAGUGAUGAAGGCCUUAGGGUUGUAAAGCUCUUUUGUCCGGGAAGAUAAUGACUGUACCGGAAGAAUAAGCCCCGGCUAACUUCGUGCCAGCCGCCGCCGUAAUAC
rnacentral:rRNA from 1 species